UAUUCAUGUGCCUCUAUGGAAAAACAUGUUUUUGCCAUGUGCCGCUUGUCUUUGUGAUCGUAUACAGCUUGAGUCCACAAGAACUUUAAUCAGGUGACCUUUCAUAACCCUCAGGGUAUAAACUGUCGAAUGUUCUGAAUAAAGCUGGCUAUCUAAUGUGACUUUAGUCUGCCUCCUUUUUAGGGCCCACUAUCCCAAGUGACUGUGGAACAUAGGUCCCUUGUUUUCCAAGACAGAUAGGGGAAAGAGAUGAUGAGGACAUGCAGCCUAUAAUUCAGGGCAACCUACAACCAGUUUUCUAGGGAGGCUGAGGCAAAGCUCAGUGUCCAGGAAAUUCAGAGCUGGUUUCUCUGUUGGGAGUUCUAGAGGGGUGAGUCAUUAAGGGAGAGGAUCAGAGUGUCACCAAGUAGAUUGAAUCCUCUCAUUGGACUGCAUCUACCUGUCACCCAUGCUGUGAAAACCUGGCUUGUACAACAUACACAGAAGUCUCCUCAGUACAUUUUCUAGAUGGGCACAUCCUCUAAGUGCUGGUUUGGAAUCAUGGACACAAGUCUUGGUUCCAAUGCUACUUCUGGAUAUAAACUGACUAGUUUUUUUUUUUUUUUUUCCAACUGUAAAGUAGGGAUAUUUGGCUAGGUACAUAACCUUUUCCAUAGGUUUUUGGUUAGGAUUAUAUUCAUUCACAUAAAAUUACUUGCAAGCUACAAUGAAAUAUAAAAAUUAAAGAUUAUUUCUGACCAUUCUUGUUACAAAUACUAAUGAUAACUGAUGCCAUGAGUUUCUCAUUUAUCUAAUGCUUUUUGUUUUUUAAACUUUUAUUUUCUUAUUAUUUUAAAGUGUGUGUCUGUGUAUCUGGGUGUGGCUGAGUGCUAGAGUCUAUAGAGGUCAGAGGGGUCAGGUCCCCUGGAACUGGAGGUACAGGCGGUUAUAAGUCACCCGAUAUGGGUGCUGGGAAUUGAACUUGGGUCCUUUGAAAGAGCAUCAUUAUGUACUCUUACUUGCUGAACCAUCUGUCCAGCCCCUUGUUUUUUAGUUUUUUAUACUUGGGGACAGUUAGUAGGACUUCAGAGAUUCAUAAUCCCUAGCCUCUGUCCUUGUGAUCUAAGAAGUCUGGGGGUGGGGGCAGUGGGUACAAUCGCUUGUGUGAGUUUUCUGUGCUGAGACAAGGCUUAGUGGAACUCUGCAGGAGCUUUGCUCUUUCUCAUUGGUGGCGCAUGCUGAAGACUUGCAUGCUCAGAAAAGGAUGGAGGGCGGUUAUCUUUAAGUUUGAGCUCAUACUGCGUCCAGGCACUUUUAUGCCCACCAUCUUCUUAACAAGCUAGGGAACUAGGUAUUAUUAUGCCCAAUUUAUGGAUGAGGAAGCUGAGGAGGUGGGAUAAAUUUCAAAUUUUAAUAAAACUGAAAAAUAUAAAGCCAAAAUUUAAACCCAGGUUAUCCACCUGCAGGUUCCCCCGCGCCCUUGUUACCUUCUCAGCAGACUGCGUCCUCAUAGAACUAACUCACUAUGUUAAUCCCAAGCGACCUUCUUACUUGGGUCUUUUCCCAUGAGAGAGAGGUUAUGAGAUUUGGCAUAGGCAUUCUGUUACUCUUUCUUCUUGUACUUCCUAUGAUGAGACCCUUCUCUCUACACUCUGCCCUGACUUCUCCCUCUCUUCCAGUCCCAAAGAGAGGCCAAGGAGUCAAGGACCUCGAUGUAUGAAGAGCCUGCAGAGAGCUCCCUGCCCCCUUAGAAAUCCUGGGACAAACACACAGAAGACAAAAUACACACAUACAAUUCUGCUCAAGGAGGCCACAUAGACCAAGCCUUGAUUGCCAAUUUUUGGAGACGUGGGAAGUCUCAAAAUAUGAUUUCCAGAUUGCUUGUUUUACAGCUUGCUUCUUUGAAGAACGGCGGACAGCUGAAGGCAUACAUACAGUAGCAUCUAUUCCCACCUGGGGUGUCUGCUCCUAUGCUCUGGCCGCCUCCAUCAAAUUCAUGGUGGGUUAAUUCCAUUGUUACGGUAUUCCGAGGUGGGACCUAAUUAGGAUUAGAUGAGAAUGGAGCCCCGUGAUCUUAUUAGCCUUGUUGGAAGGGGAAGGAAACCACAGUGUGCGUGCUGCCUCCAGACCGCAGAGUCCCUGGGAGCCAAGGGCCCUGUCACACGCAGCGCCUGAACCUGAAUGGUAAGAACUAAACUUUCGUUACUUACUAUUCGCCCAGUUUGUGGUGUUCAGGAACAACAGAAAGUGACCUAAAAUACCCAGAAAUCUAACGACGUUCAGCGUCUUCGCCAGAGGAGGAAGAGAGUUGGCGCUCGUUACCUUCACAGUGACUCACCCACCGCCCCAGUUCUUUGAAGUUCCUAAUCAAUGCUGUCACCUUCUGACUUGUCCCAACCAUAGAACAAGAAUACAGUGAGCUUUUCUGGUAACUGGGGACACACUUCUCCACUGGGGAGUUUGGAUCCUCUCAACGUUCUCUUAAGUGGGCAUGGAUUCUUUCUUCUGGCUUCCUCCACUGGUCCUAUCCUCCCUCUUGGAGUUAGGUGGCAUGGCCUUCCUCCUCCUUGCAUUCAGCCAGUCCAGUAUUAUUUAGAGAGAGGAUCGUCAGUCAUUAUCGUGGUGUAUGUGGGGCUGGGGCUCAGGGAGCAGGAUGCCAACCUAGCGUGCACAGAACCAUCCCUAGCAGUGUAUAUGCUGGGCACGUGGCACAGGAGGCACGGUACUCAGGAGGCAGAGGCAGGGGGAUCAGAAGUUCAAGGACAUCCUCGGUUACAUAGUGAGUUCAAGGCCAGUGUGGGAUGCACUAGACCCUGUCUCAAAACAAACAAACAGACAAACAACAACAACAAGAAAACCACCACCAACAACAACAACAGAAAACCCAUUCAAAGAAAAACUAAAAACCCCCAAAUCCCAAGAAACUCACUGACUAUUGCCACACCAUCCCUUCAGCUAUGGUGGCUGCCUUCCUUAUGAAUCUUGGAGCAUGGAGAGACAGAGGAAGCGGGGUACACUGAGGGCAUCACACAAUGUUCAGACUUCAAGGGAAUACUCAACUAUUUUCUCCUCCUCCCAUUCAUCUAGCUGGGCAACCUCUGGGCUCAGUGUAGCCAGUACUUCGAACCUCCUUUCCAGACUUUUCUUAUUUUGACUGUUCUAUUCUGCACACACCACAGUUUAUUACCUGGCUAAUUGGUACUAUCCCUGGCAUCAAAAACAAUAGCACUAUCAGGACUCCGUGGACAGGUGGCAAUCACACCACCAUUUCUUGGGGCUGGAAUUCUAUCACAUUAUCAUGCCCAUAAAACAAGACAUGAACAAAGCACCCGGAAGGGUGUAACAUGUUACCUACCAUUGUUCUUCUCCUUGAUGUGGUCCGAGCCUCAUCAGCUCUUUUGUUUGAAGCUAAAUGACGACACUACCACUUCCACUGGCGUGGGAUCUCAGUCACCCCUAUUCUCAUCUUGCUAUGUGUUUCUUUCUCUUGAACUUAGGCAGGAGUGAAAAAUACAGCGCAGACACAGGACUUUGUGUCUAUGUUAAGUUAUUUCCUCUGGUUCUCGGUCCAACCUCCAGUCUAACCAGACCAUCAUUCUGUGACCUUCGUUACAGCUCUCCCAUCAUUUGGGGAUUAAGUUAUAUAACGGCAAACCCAGGGAUCAAGUCUCCCCUCGGUCAGACAUGGUAUAGUGGUAACCUUAGCAUGGAGGUGCUGUACUGAUGCAGGAUCUUCAGGACCCUGCUCCUACCGGCCCACUUGCAGUUUAAGGUAGCGUCACAGAGCUUUAGAUGAGAUGGACCUAAGAGAACAUGCCCUCACCUUGGAGCAGGAUGGAAAUCCAGGUCUGCAGACCUCAAUUCUGUGGAUUUUGUGGUUUUUUUGAGGGGGGGGGUUGUUUGUUUUUGUUUUUGUCAAAACAGAAGACACUACGCUAAGUUCACAUUGAAUUUUCUAAAUGAUUUCCUGACAACCUCUAUCAGAAAAGUAAUAAAAGAAUCUAUCUUUAGUCAGCUUUAUUAUCUGUGCAUGGGUGUCAAUCACUGGCUCUAGUUUCCAGGGACUAGAGAGAAGUGCCUCAAUAUGUAGUUUUCACUGUAUACCCUUCUGUCUUUGGGAAAGUGGUGUGGCAUUUGUCUUUGCCUUUCAUGGGACAGAAUCUCCUGUUUUCUACAUGGAUCAGAGUGACUUCUGAAUGAUAUCUAGAGAAUUUCCAACAACUUGGACUCAAAUGUGUGUGAAUUUUCAAAGGCCAUUAAGUUCUCCAUUGCCGUACCUUAGACAUGGUGGGACGUUAGCAUGUUUCCCCAUAUUUAAUUUAGGACCUGAUCGAGUUCGAUACUCUGUUGCUGUGAUAAACACUGACCAAAACUAAGCCCAGGAGGCAAGAAUUUACUUGGCUUACAUAUCCCAGAUCACAGUCCAUCACUGUGAGAAUUCGGAGCAGGAACUCAAGUUAGGAACCUGGAAGUAGGAACUGAAUCAGAGGCAAGGGAGGGUUGCUGCUUACUGGCUUGCUCCCCAAGGCUUGCUCAGCCUGCCUUCUUAUACAGUUCAGACCAUCUGCUUAUGGGUGGUACCACCCACAAAGUGCUAGGUCCUCCUACAUCAACCAUCAGUCUAGACAAUACCCCACAGAGCAGCCCACAGGCCAAUCUGAUGGAGGCAAUUUCUCUAUUGUGGGUUCUCCUUCCCAGGUACCUCGAGUUUAAGUCAAGUUUAUAAACACUAACCAGCACAAAGCCACUAGCAGUACGGAAAAGAAGAAAAUGUCCAGAAUGGCAGAGUCCUACUGAACUAUACUUCCUACAUUUCAUUCUGUUCCUGUUUGUUGUUUUUUUUUUUUUUUUUUUUUUGGUUUUUCGAGACAGGGUUUCUCUGUGUAGCUUUGCGCCUUUCCUGGAUCUCACUCUGUAGACCAGGCUGGCCUCGAACUCACAGAUAUUCGCCUGGCUCUGCUGUUUUGCUUUUUCACAUCACAUCAUGUUCUCAGCUGCAGCUUCCCAGAGCCAGGCUUGUAGGUCGGAGGUGUUCUUUGCACAGUUCCUCCUGGGCGUGGCUACACGGUGCCUUUGUCUCUGUGUACAACCCCCUUAGCGCAUGCGCAUCCUGGCCUCUCUGCUGCUGUCACCAUGACUUGGAAACAAGAGCCCCUUUCCCUUCUCAAUGUGUUUAAUGAUCUGUUGCGAGUUUAUCUUGGAAAGUGUUCUUAUUGGUUCACCCUUCCUAGGCUAUUGCUAAUUAGGAAUUUAGGCUCUGGCCCACUGUGCCAAAACUUGUCUGCACUUCAGAAUGGGCUUUCCUCAACUCUGUGCCUGGAACUGUCCCCUUUCCUGCAUCUCUUCCUAGAUCCAAUAGCUACUUCCCUUCCUGGUUGGAGUAACUUCCAUAGCACUUCCAUUUAUUCAUCGUUGAUUGAAAUAUCUCUUCCCUUCUGAGAAGUAGUAAUAGUCACAGCGACCCUUGGCCAGACUUCCUCGGGCACCAGGCUGGCCUUCACCUACCCUGUCUCUUAGGAUCCUAGCGGUGAGGGAGAUACCACUGCUGCCCCAGCGGGUGGUGGAGGCGCUGGCUCAAGGUCAUUGCACAGAUGUAGCCGGAGGUUGCCAAUGCCGGCGCUGGAUGCCAGGUUCCACCCUAGAGAUGAGGUGGUGAAGCUGAUGCUGAUUUACAGCAAAAUUCAGCUUGCAGCUGUUGUUUGAAUAAUUGGAUCUCCCACUGCCGUUCUAUCUUAUAAGGGCUUAGACAUUAGUGUUAUGAAAUCCCGUCUCUAGGCCAGAUUUGUUUAAAAACAACCCACAAAACCAAAGAACUAGACCACCAGCACUCUCCUUGACAAAUAGGCACCUUUCUUCCUUGCCAGCAGCCUUAAGUGUCCUCUGUCUGUCUGUCUGUCUGUCUGCAGCCAUAUCCUGCUAGGAGUGUUCACCGUUGCUGCCUCCCUAGAAGAGCAGUCCUCCUCUGUUCUUGGUAGACUGUCCUCUUACAUUCUCUAUCCGGUGUAAAGUGGGGCAAACAGGAGACAUGGGAGGAUUCUGAGGUGUUUGACACUGAGGUCUCUACCCACCCUUGGGCUCUGAGACAGAGGGAUUUAAAUCCUGGCUCUCUUGUAAGACUGCUGUGUGAUUCUGGCUUGGUUCUUAAUCUCUCUGAGCUUUAAGCAGUCAACUAGAAAAUGAAGGUGGGGAAUGAUGGAGUUUUGGUGGGGGCAGAGGCAACCCCUAACUCCUGCAUGAUUUGACCUCCCCCUGCUCCCUGCCAUUGGCUGGAGCAGUUUAAUGCCGCCGCCGCCGCCGCUCCUCUGCACACCUGCCUCCUAGCCCCAGUCUCUACUUCCUUCAGAACUCCGCGAAGAUGCAAGGCUUGCUGUACUGAGUCUAAGAAAGUGGAGCCGGGAGUGGAGCACUUGAGGGCCUAACUGGAACACAGGACAUGGCCUGUUCCCCAGCUAAAUCCUCCGUGCUCCAUGACGUCACCCCCACCCCCCCACCCCCACCCCCACCCCCGUGACUGCAGGGAGAGCCUAGAGGCCCUUUCCUGACGCCCUGAACUAGGCUGGGGUUCUCAGGCUCGGCUCCUGAGCCCUGGUUGGGGCUGCACCGCCCCAGCAUUUACAGCUAGUCAUGCUGCUCAGAAUCGGCGCAGGGGCAGGUACUGCAGGGGCCACCGAGGCCUGCUCAGCUCCUGCCCUGUGACCCCAGGCCCCACAGUUCUGACUUCCUCAGAGCGGGAUGGUUCUGGGGAGAAGGUCGUUGUGACUAGGUUAGGAGGCCACAGGCCUUGCUGAGCAAAUUACUAAAGAGCUCAGGAUUAGUGGUGUUCUCCCUCCACCCCGCUUUGGGUCUCUGCAAUUCUGGGCUGAACCUAGACUCUCCCAGCUCUCGUCUUCGCUGAGGGGGUUGACAGCAUCAGAGGGGAGGGAGGCAGAGCAUCAUGCACCCUGCAGCAGGGCCCCCUCGGUAACCUGAAAAGGUAGAGGGGAGGCCUCCUGCAUUCAAGCCCCGUCAACCCUUUCCUGCAGGUCCUCGGGGACAGAGAAUCUAUUUAUUUGGCGACCUCUUUCAGUUUUUAGGCUGCGUUAUCCCUAACCUGGAUUCUCCACACCACCCGCAGGCAAGUUUUUCUCUAGUUUGGUAGCAGAUUGUUUUUCUCUCGAAGCUCCACCCACCACUGGGCUGGGUCUGCUUGGGGAGUUAGGAGGUGGAGCUCAGCCCUGAAGAGCUCUGGGGGCUCCUCCCGGCUCUCAUCUUCCGGCUCCCCGGGUUUCCAGGGUACUCUGCCGCUGCAUUAUUCUGAUAUGUCCCCCCUUCACUUCGUUUUAAUCUUUUUAUUAUGGGUAUUUCUAAAGGUGCAGGAAAAUAGAGAGAAAAUAACACCCAGCACAGAGGUUAUAUCUGGCAUGCAUGUCGAAUUGUUUGUUCUACAGCAGACCCGGAUUUUCUCUUUCCGUCCGUAAAUACUGUGUAUCUUUAAAAUUACUUCCGUCAUCAACACUCUUCAAUGGCAAUCAUAAUUCCUUAACUUUCUCAACAGUCCCCUUUUCUCUAAUUACCAGUUUGUCUGAAGGUGUGACUGCUUUUAGUUGAGAGAUCUCAGGUUGGUUUGUUUGUUUGGGGGGUGGGGUUAAUCCUUUUUGGAGGCAGGGUCUGAGGAGGAUACUGAGCCUCUUCCCAGCGAGUGACCAAAUCCAGGAGGGAGCUCCUGCUGAGGGAGAAACACUGGGCCGUAUCUAUAGAAAAGGUCUUUCAGUUACAGCGCAGAAGGAGAGGGCUGAGGUCGAGGUGGACCGCAUCCUGACCUUUGACUGGGUUCCCACGGCUGGGCCUCACCGCUUCAGACCAAGCCUGAAGGGCAGGGGGUGGGGAACUGACAUAAGCCUGGGCACCCCUCCCCUCCUCUGCCUCUCUUUUGAGGGAACAGGAUACCAACAAGAGUCAAGCAGAGCGAGCUCCGGUAGAUCACCCUGUGUAGUCCCAAGGUCUUGUGGAGCCCGGGAGAAGACAGCCAGUGGUGGCAGGAGGGCAGGGGUCCUUGCGGAUUUGGCUUGGCCGCCGAGAGGGCAUUUCAGGGUUCUGGGGAAGACCGGCCCCUAACUGGUCUGCCCUCUUUGGUUUGGCAAGAAGAUAAUAGCUGAGGUUGAUAGUUAGCUGGGUCCCGGUAACUGCCUGUUGUAGAGACUACAUUGUUCUGUGUGGCCAAAGACAAAGAGUUGGGGGUCUGUUUACCGCCCCGUUUAUGUCUGAUACAUCCCAACCUGCCUGAGACGCAGUGGCUCCUCACAACUCUUCCAAGUGUCUAGCAGGUAAGUAGUUCUCUGCCUUUCAUUGCUUUGAUUUCCCCAAGGGACACGAAGCUCAACAGAAGGGAAGAACAGUGUCCCACACGGCUCUGUGUCUUCCACAGACCCAGGACUAUCUAACCCAUAUCGGGUGUUCAAUAUAACUACCUGUGAAUCGAAAGCCGAGAAUUUGUGGAGAAAUCCUUGUUUCCUAAAAGGGAAAACAAGCUGUUCCAUGGAGACCACUGACAGAAUCUUCCUAGAUGGAUCUGCCCAACCUCCUUAGAUGAAUACAGUGAUGGCUAAAUAAAGUGGACUCAAUGCCCAGGACAGGGAGAGAUGUGAAUGUUAAUCCUAGUCUGCAGGAAGUAUUCCUCUGUUCAUAGCUAAAGUACCACCCUCCACACCCCCCCCCCCAACAGGAAGAGGCAUGGGAGGCUGGCUGCUGAGGCAGAGAAGACAGAAGCACUCACUCAUUCAUCAAGCAUCUAUGCUAGAGCUAAGGAUGGAGUGGAAAUAGGACAUGACCCAGUUCCCCAGGUGCUUUCUCAGUCAGUGUUGGAGACAGGUGCUGCUAACCGCUCACCAGCAAGGCCUCCAGAAAAAACAAAACCAAAGAGCAAGCAAUUGUGUUCUAAGGUAGGAACGCUCUGACUAUAGCCAAUCACAAGCUACAACAGCAUCAACAGAAAGAGUCGGGAAGAGAGGCACCAGCAGGCAGGCCGGCUUUGAUAACUGAUGGGCAGAGACAAAAAGACCCAGAAGGAAGCUCAUACCCUUCUAUCGCAGGGCCUAUGGCUGAAUUAGAGAAUUCACUCUGCAUGUAAGAAAAGUAGCCAGGGAAAUCACUGUAUUUGCUUUCUCUAGAGAAGAACAAGAGUGAGUGCUUUCAGAGUUAAUGUCUGCUACGUACUGUGAGGGAAGAAACCAUGCUAUAUUGAGUGGAGAGAGUGGUCUUGGGAAGACAGUCUACCUGUCUGCACACAAAAAUGGGUCUGGUGUGUAGGUAAAUCUUACAGGCAAUAGCUUGCCCUGUGUUCAGAGAGGCUAUUUGAUAUGAUUUUAGGAGCUGAUAUCUGUCGUGGGCAGUAAGAUAAUAACAUCCACAUAUAAUAAUGCACAUCAUUUUUAGCAACUUUAUGAACCAGGCGCAUCAAAUAUUUUAUAUCUAAUCCAUUUAACUCUGCCAUGUCAGUAUUUAUAUGCUCAUUACGCACACGAGGAAACACUGACGUGAAACUAAGGAAGGUCUUUCUCUUCCAAACUUCUCUUUAGUGCUUGUCUUCUCUCAACUGCCAGGUUUCUUGUAUGAGAUGCAAGUGGCAAGACCCAGAAGCCAGAGCAAUGUAAAGAGCUUGUGCGCGAGAUCUGCUCGUGCUGUGCUGGUACCUCUGAGACAACGUGGAGCGUCUGUUCUAACAAGAGCAGUCGGUGGGGAGAUGGUUCUGGGGUUAAGAGCACUUGACGCUGUCACAGAGGACCUGGGCUGGGUUCCCAGCACUCACCGAGCAAUUCACAACUGUCUGCAAUUUCAGUUCCAAGGGACUGAUACCCUCUUCCGGCCUCCAGGAAUACUGUACACAUAUGUCUGUACACAGACAUACACGCAGGCAAAACCUCAUACACAUAAAAUUAAAAACAAAAACAAAAAAACAAGUCUUUAAAAAAAGUAGAAUUAUGGAUCGAUAAAUGGAGGUAUAUAGGAACUGGGACUGUACAGCUCGUUGUGAAUUAAUGUGAUACUAUGUAAAAGAUACAUCAUUAGCCUUAUGAAAGACAGUCACACAGAAGAGUGAGGAGGAUAAUAAUAUGCCUGCAACGAGGACUUCAUUCAUGCAUCCACAGAUACUGUGUAUUUCUUUUAUUCCAAGCAAUGUGCCAAAUGCCAACUAGGGAAUCAAUCGCAGGGAACAGGACACACAACUCUUGUGCAGUAUCAGGGAGCAUGUUCUGAAUGUCCAUGCUAUCUAGACAUGAACGGGCUUCUUGAGGGCUCCCUACCCUUCCAGUAAUCAGGAGGAGGUCAAAGCCUCACUUACUAGAAUAUGCUAGGAUUCACUCUUUUGUUGAGUGUGUAAGUUAAAAUAAAAUCCCUUCUGGUUCAGAGAUCUGAAAUUUGGAAUUUACUCUGGCAGGCUACCGCAGGCUGCAUUUAAGUUUCUUGUCCUAAUGUCCCUCUGUGGCCAGCCUUGAUCUCCCAGCUGUGUGCUCCACAUUCUUUGCAGCUAGCUCUGGUGGGCUAGCUAGCUAGCCUGGAAAGGAGCUGCCAUCUGUGACAGGGAUGAUGGAGUGCUGGUGAAUUGUGUGGGCUCAAGGAAUGUGGCAUUGAAGCCGCGCACACACAACCUGCUGAAGAGCAUCCCAUGGGCAGAAACUGUUUUCUUCCUCUCUGGCCCUGCUCUGUUGCUAUGCCAGGAGGGCACAAUGGCGCCUUUGACAGGGGCAGCUGGAAGGGGGUAUUGGCAGAGAGGCUAGAAGUAGAGUACUGCAGCUGGGAGUGGGGGUGGGGGGCUCAAGUUCAUGUCCAGGAGUGAGCCUGCACUGGGUGCCAGUUUCCAAAACAAAACUGCUGUUCCUCAGAGCUGGUGGUGGCGGGUUGCCUCAGAACUGGACCGAGGGCAAAGCCAUUUCCUCUCUACAGCUCCACCUCUCCAAGUUUAGAAAAACUUUGGUAUGUUAGGGCAUUCUUGCUCAGGAUGCAGAUUAAUAGGCUCUGCUGCCUCUCUGGAGGGCUGAGGCCAGUGCCUGGAUGGGAUUUUCUAAGAGUCCAACUCCAUUAAGCAGAGCAGGACUGGUAGACGUAGGACCUGGCAGGGCUCCAGGGCAGGUAGACUUCUGGGCAAUGAGCAGGGCUCAGAAUGGAGGCCUGUUCUUCUGCCGUACAGGACCACUAGCUCCAAUCUCACCGCCCAGCAUCCUCAUUGCCGACGUGGCUCUGCCCACACACAGUUUUAACUCAGUUCAGUGGGAAAGAGGUGGGAGAACCGUGGCAUUUCCUGUCCUGGUUCACAGUUGUCCAGACCCUCUGCGACAGCUCAGAGCUGGGCGUGGGAUGUCUUCCCACUCUCUUGGGGGUUAGGAGGUCUGAGUGCCAGGCUGUUCGCUCUGGCAUCCAUUCCCCCUUUUGUGUUACAAACGGAGCAGGUGGCUCCCUUUCAUUCUAGGGGCUGCCAGCAAAAAGGUGUGACUUCAAGUGGUCAUUGGCAAUUUCUAUUAAUGUUCACACUAAAUGCGAGAGUUUCACACUUCCACUCAACUUUUUUUUUUUUUUUUAAAUCAGCAAAUCACAGUUGAGGAAAUACUUCCUUUUAGGCUCUUUGCUGGCUCUGUGACUGCAAAAUGAAAAGACAGUCCUUGCUUCAGAAAACUAACUGUCAAAUGCACAGGGCAAGUCCUGAAGGGGAGUUGGCCUGUCAACUGAAUACCCACACGCAUUAUUAGUUAGACAGUAGAGGUGUAAUGCAGAACUGUCCCUCUGUGGGUAUUCUGGCAUUGUGGGGGACAUGUGAGGCUGGCAUCACAGACCUAGGCUUGAAACUCGUCUGCUCUUAGAGUAUUUAUUUUGAGACAGGGUCUCACUGUGUAGCCUUGGCUACCCUGGAACUUGGUAAGUAUACCAGGUUGGCUUCCAGCUUACAGAGAUCCACCUGCCUCUGCUAGGAUUUAAAGGUGUGACCCACUGUGCCUUCAAUGAUGAGUGUUUAUUUAUAUUCAUGAGACUUUAUAAGGAUAACACACAGGAUGCAGAGUUGUUAGGAUAAUUAAAUAAGACGUUGUAUGGAAGUGCUAGGAUUUGUGGAUCAUAAUAGACUUGAGGUACAUGUAUUUGUGCAUAAGGACAUUUAGUCAGUCCCUUGUUAAGAGCCUCUGCCCUUCAUUAAAGAGUCAAUUCUUUUCCUUCUGUAACCUCACAGGUGUUAGAAAGAGAUUUCUCUUCUGCAUUCCACAAACCAUAUUUGUUUAUUCUGUUCUUUAUUUGACAGUCCAGUUGUAGAGGGAACAGAAGGAUUAGAAUAUUUUUCCUCCCGGAAGUACCUGAAUUGUGGAGUGUGGUAAGGAAGAUCAUGCACUCUUUUCGAUAGUCUAGAAUAUCUAAGGAAGCUAUUGCGUUUUCCACAGACAGGCUCUCCCUGCUCACUCUCACCUUGAAAGAUACUUUGUUUGAGGGAAGUUAUUCUUUUACCAAGGGACUUUGACAACCAAAAAGCUAAGCUUUCUUGGGGGCAGAGGUUAGCUGACAGAAUCUUCCAGAAACUUGCUGGGCACAGGGCUCUAACCUGGAAUGUCAGUGAUGGGGCCCCUGCCUCAGUCCUCUAAGAUUUCCUGAUAAGUUUUUAUCAGACACACUGCCUACCACCCAGCUGUUCCUGAGAAAAUGUAGGGAUUAGGUUUAAUCUUUAAAUGUCAUUCCUAAGUCCUUAGAAGACACAGAAUAUGCUAUUGUCAAGAAUCUGAAGACAAAGGGAAAUCAAAGCGAUUCACACAAAAGACAAAGGCGAUAGACGAGAACGACAAAGUAAAAGCACAUAGAGGAACAGAGCUUGAUGUGAACUGCCGGGUGCACAUGGACAGGAAAGACAAGAAGAGGGUCACUCGAGGGAGAGAAGAAGUUGCAUCAGAGCUGAAAGCAAACAAUGGGAUUUCCUAAGGGGAAUUAACAAAAACAGUUUGUCCUGAGUCAGCGGAACAACGUUGACUCCAUGCAGGAGACUUGUAGUCAAUGCACGGGUAAGGAGCAGGGAGGCAUGCGUCUUGGUACCGUGUUUGAAAAUGGAUUUCGUGGAUUGAAAGAGGCCAGUAAUCCUAGAACUGCUGGUGCCUGGUAGGUGAGAUUGAAGGGGCACUAGCUCACUCGAACACGUGACUCUGGCAGCCUUGCCCUUCUUCUCCAUUCCCUCUUCCUUGCUAAAAACCAUUAGAUUACAUUCCUAAAGCUAGCCAUCAAGGUCUGUUCCCUUAUUUGGCCACUAGUCCUCCUGAGGCUGACCACCAAGGUCCAGCUAUUAAGAUACUGAAGUUCAGAAAUCAAAAGCCUCCUUUAGUUCAUGUAAUUAACAUGCCCAAUCAAAACAUACCACCGCAUCCUAGCCCAUUCUAACACAGACCUCCCUUUUCCCCCUCUUCUUAAAAAUGGCAUCUGCAAGGUCAUUUGCUGCUGUUUUUCCGCCUGAGUCAGAAAGCAGCGUUUUGUUUUGUUUUUUUUUUAACUUUAGUUCCCCACUUAAUAAAGGCUUUCUCUGUGAAAAUGGGUGUUUGGGUGUGUUGUGUGCCUAGUCCAGGGUCUGAGAGGGAGCCCCCGUGUGGGGGCCUCCUUUAGAGAUUGUUGGUUACUUUUCUGGUUUUUUUUUUCCCCUCAUAUUUUUUGAUGCAGUUGUCAUUUUGACCUUUGAAAUCAGUAAAGACUAGCGGAGAAAGCUUGAGGAAGCUCAGGCAGGUGCAUCUGGAGUUGCUGAGCCCUGGCAGAUGGGCGGGGAAAGGAAGCCAGAAGUGCUCAGAGCUGCCUGGAAGGGCUACCCUGGGGCUGAUGCGGGACACAGGGACCAGUAGGCUUGAUUGAGGAAGGAAAUGCACUAGGAAACUCUGACCCUAAGAUGCCCUAACUUGGCUUUUCGCCAUUUUAUUUUCUCACUUCCUUCUCCCUUGAAGAUGUUUCCAUUUAUUCUACUCUGGUUGGUUGGGCUGAGUGGCCAUUCCCACUUAUUCGCUCCAUGCUCUGAAAGGCUAACGAAGUUCAUGUCAUGCCAGAAAGAACCAAGGCUUAAAGAUUCACACCCUUCUUCCAAGUUAAGAGUGUGCAAAACAGCAGGGGGAGCGGGCAAGGCAGGACCAGAGGACACCCAGUUGGUCCCUGAGAGUCCUGGUUUCUUUUCUGUCACACACUGGGCUGAGUGAACUUGAUGAAGCUAAUUAAUCUUUGAAGUCCUUGAUUGUUGUCUUUUGAAUAAUAAUGGCAUUGGGGGGGCUGGCACAGGGACUCGGGGUAAAGGCGCCUACUACUGUUGCUUUGUAACAGUUUCCUCUGAGAUUGAAACAGUCCAUCCUGCAGGCGAGCUCUAUAAACAGGAAGGUAACAAUUCAAAACAGCUUCAGGAAGUCCCGGAAACUGACCAGAUUCACUAGGCUCCUCCCGGCCAGAGUGGCAGAGUCAUGCUGCAAAGACUCUGAGACUAGACCACCUGCCUGGAAGAAGCCUGUAACCGCUGAGCUGCCUGGGAGAGGCUUAAACCAACUGAGGCACCAGGAAAGGGUGACCUCUAGCUAACUUAUGGAGCUGCAUGCAGGCUGUGCUGUGUGCCCCAGGGUCUCAGCUUUGUGAGCUGUCACCCAUGCUGGGGUGGGCCUUGGUGACACUGCUGUCUAUGAGUCAUUUCUGGUCCUGUAAACAACCCCUCACCCAUGUUUCUGUAAAUAACCCCAAUAAAACUUACUGGUUCACCAAAUUGGACUUCAGUGGUGCCAUUACUUUGGUCUGAGGUGCAUUUCCUAUCUGGGAUGAGUAGACAUGUGCAUUGUCUCCCCAGGAAACGUUUUGUCUCACAACUACCCAGAACUCACAUGGUGGAAAGAGAGAACUGAGUCCUACAAGCUGUUCUCUGACCUCCAUACUAGUGUGGCUCGCAUGAACACACACACACACACACACACACACACACACACACACACACACACUAAAAUUUAAGACAUGGCAUUGCGUUGGAUCAACUAGCUAAAGGGAUCUAUCUGCCCAAUCUUAAAGUGAUCUGACUCAUUAUUUACGAAGGUUUUUGUUUUGUUUGAGACAAGGUCUCAUUAUGUAGCUGUCUGGACUGGUACUCAUUGUGUAGCCCAGGCUGGCCUCAAACUUGCUGAGAUCCUCCAGUCUCAGCCUCCUGAGUCCUGGGAUCACAGGCUAGCCCACCACACUCUGCUUUAUGAAGCUUCUUUAUACAUAUGGGCUAUGCUCUGAGAAUUUGGGAUUUUUAUAGGCAAGAUCCCAGUCAUCUACUGGGUUGGAUGUUGCUGGCACAAGGCCCUAAAAAUUCCCUUUUUGAUUUUUAAUGAUAAAUUAAAAGAGCUCUAAACAUUUUAAUGGACAUUAAAUUCAUAAAAUACACAAAUAACCACGUUAAAGUAUACAGUUCAGUGGUAUUUAACAGUCUCAUCCACAUUGUCUUUUGAUGCCUUUUUUUUCAUGGGCACUGGUGUUUUGCCAGCAGGUAUGUCUGUGUGAGGGUGUCCUGUACCCUGGAACUGGAGUUACUGACAGCUGUGUGAGCUGCUACCACAUUGCCUUCUUAAAGUGUCAUUCUAAGACUCAGCUCAGUGUCAUUUUGUGUAAUAAAGACACUGCACGGCCUCCCCAUGCUCAAGCUUGGGCACAGCAAGUUCUCCAGGUGCAGAUGGAGAGGCACAGGCUGGGUCAGAGGGUCCAUAACCAGACUUUCAGCUUCGUGUGCAUAGCCAGACUGUUCCCUGGGGUGGUUUACCACUUACAUUCCCAUUGACAGCGUCUCAGCACUAGCUUCCACUCUUAUGACCCACAGUGGAACUCUAGGAAAAGUAAGGCAGCUGUGGGGUGUCACAGUCCAGGGCUGCAGUCUCAGAAUGACGGUUUGGAAGGUGGGGCUGAGGCAGGGGGGUUGUGGUUUUGAAGCUAGCCUGAGCACCUACAUAGCAAGACUCUCUUAAAAACAAACAAGCAAAUCAAAACAAAACUCAACAAUGACAAACAAAAACCCAAACCAAAUCAUCACCCAAAUAGCAAACCAGUUCCACAUUGUCUGGAAGUGGUCUCAGAAUACUGUGGUGGUGGUGGUGGUGGUGGUGGUGUGUGUGUGUGUGUGUUUGUGUGUGUGCCUGGGUGUGCACUUGUGUGUUGAAGGAAGAAGGCAGGCCAUGGGGACUUCAGUUUUUCCUAUAAUAUUUUAUUUCUUUGAUUUAAAACUGCUUAAAGGAAUGAUACAAUAUUGAUAUAUACUGAAUGAGAGGGAAAUAGAUAUACUUUCCUUAAUACUUGAGUAAUUGAUGCACAGAGACACCCCUCCCACAUACUCUGGCUAACAGUGUUCUGAAGCAGCUUCUAGAUUUGGAUGACCUUCCCAUCUGUGCUCAAGGUGGUAGGUAGCCUUUGCUUGUGAACGUUAUCUUAAAGAUUAGAUUAAGUACCCCAAAAAAUCGGGGGAUUUCUUAUUUUUAACCUGGAAAACAAAAUAACGGCCAUGGAACGUAAGACGAAUCCUCCAGUUGAAGCCUGCCCGCUUUGCCCCACCUAGCUCCGAAAACCUUUAAGAUGCUUGGCAAGAGGUGGUGACUCAAUGUGCCUCCUCCCUCCAACCCCCACUCGCCACUGCUUUAUUCAGGUGAAAUCAGGUUAGAACAAAUGUAAAGGGCCUCUUGGAAGCCAACUCUGAGAACUGGCCUUGGACAGGGCUGGCCUAGUCAGGGGGCUGCACUACCAAGCCAACAACCGUGUUGAGCACCCUGUUUAGAUGCAGGCCUAAGGCUCCCAUACACGAAACACUCUGAUGAGCACUUGCUGUAUAUUUCUUAAUGCUCCCUCUUGAUAAGCAAAGCUCUUCAUGCCCAUUUUUAAAUCUAUCAGGAACAGCAAGAGGAAUCAAGGAGUGAAUCGUCAACAGCCAGGACAUGCACUGAACCUCUCUGAGAACCCGCUGACUACUGCCCUACUGCCUCCUAGUUCUCAAGCUCCCAGACCAAUCAGGAUGCAAGUCUGAGUCAGGCCAGCAAGGCUGUGGGCGCAGGGGAAACCCAACUGCCUGCCAUCCUGCCUUCCUGCUCUGAAAAAGGUAGUAAGGACACGUGCCUCAUAGGCUGCCUUCUCCAUUCUGUGAGACUUAGCACCGCUGCCAGUGAAGUAACAACCCCUCAAAACCCUGGGAACUUAAUGUCAUUGGGAACUAGGCUGCCUGCCCCCACCCCCCGGUUCUAUGGGUGAAACUACUGAGGCACAGACACACGGCUCAGUAAGUCACUGAACCCAAGGGCAGAACUUGGGUGACAGUCCUGUGAACCUCAGUCCAGGUUCCUCACUAGUCCAGUGCUGGCUAGGUGUCUACAGACUCUGCCACUGAACCCGGAGCACAGCUGGACUCGAUGCACAGCAAGCCCCAUCUCUGCUCCCAGUGCUGGGAUGACAUUGUCCACUGCCCAGGGACAGGACUCAGAAAUGGAAACCCUCCUUCCGGCAACGUGGCAGCAAAGCUAAGUCCCCGGGCGACCCAGGCCAAGGACAUUUCCGUGGUAGCAGGAUGUUUCUCUCUCAUCAUGUGGAAUCUGUGUGCAAUGGAAGCAUCCUGGAAACAAAAGAAAAGAAGGCAGAAGCCUGGUUAAUGGUUGUGGCCAUGAGCGGUGGUGGGAAGGGACACAUAGGUGCCCCCGGAAUGCCCAAAUUCCGGAGACUCCAAGUCACAGCGGCUCAGCAUCACGUCCAGGGAAAAUGGAAGAAACGGUGUUCUACCAUGCGUCAGAAGAACAGAGACCAACAACACAGAAAACCACCGCAAUGUGGGAACACUUCACUCCUUUUGUAAACUUGGCCAUGUCCUGCUGGAGGAGGCGGGCUCUCAGCUGAUGGCUUCAGGACUAUAGUCAAACCUGAAGAGCCUAAGCAGGAUCCUGGAACCCAGAGGAGGGGGCUCCUGUUCCAGACCCAGCAUGGAAUGGCAGGAUCAUGGAUCAGAAAUGACUGUUGUUGACUACCAUCUUGUGGGAACUGACCCGUAAAAGGCAACAGACCGCAGAGGCUUCGACAGCACCUGUGAUCGUCAAGACCCCUGCUGUCUUCAGGCAGUACAUUCUAAAUGGAGGCUCCCUUCAGCGGGACAGCCCGUCUGCCCACACAUGAACACGCACACUGAAGACACCCUGGAGUCAGCAGCCCUCAAGCUUGUCGUUCACAGGAAGAAAGACUGAAGGCUGAGAAGCCUGUGUUAUUGAAAUACCCACCAAGAGAGGGACCGAAAAGGCACUUGAUGUUUUAGCACACUGCAGUGCUAUCCAGCAGUCCCUGGCAGACACGUGACCGUGACACCAACUGCAGGAGCCUGACUGACUUCUGAUCUGCAGCUGCCUCCCAGUUCUUCUCCAGCGCUCCCAUCUCUUCACACCACCUUCCUCUGAUGGCAGUGACCGCGCAGAAAAGUGACGUCAGAAGGAGCGGGCAGAAAAGUGACGUCAGAAGGAGCGGUGUGAAACAGAUGCCUCAGCAUUGUAUGUCAGGAUGCCCAAGACCAGUGGACCGUGACUCCAGCAGCAGUAAACGUCUUGUCCACUCGACUCAGCUAGACCCGAAGCAGGGCACAGAGGCCUUGCCGUUGAAACAUUAGGGGAGAUCCCACCAUCUGGGGAAAACGUGCCUAGACUUUCCCUGGGAUGGAUCAACUAACCGGGUACAAAGCAAACAGCCCAAGGGAAGAGCUUGGAGGAUGUGUACUCACAAAUGCAGCACAGGCCUUGCUUCCCAACACCCAUCAGCAUGACGUGGCAGAAGUUACAUGUGCACAACAACAACAACAACAACAACAUUCCCCUUAAUAACAGUGAGUCAAAGGGUGCAUUUUGGGCAUGAACAAGUGAAAGGGAUGAAAAUAUAGAGCACCCUGGAGCCAGCCUGGAGCAUACGGCUUGCCCAUCAGGAAGUCUGGAGCAGACACUAGCAACAAUGUGGAAUCAAGAGCUACUAAGUAGUCAACCCUGAGCCUGGAAUUUGGCGAACAGGAAGUUAAGGGCUGAUUUGCCUGAUGGAUUACCCCUUUGGCACCAAGGCCUGUCUCUACCUAAAAUGCUACCAAUGUGCCGGAUGCUGGGCCUGUUGCUUCUCUGAUCCCUUCCUCUUGACCCCUGGGUCCCAGCAGGAAAUUUCAAGGGAAGUCUGUGGACAGGGAAGUUACAUUUGAUGAAAAUAUGAGAAUAUCUCCCUAUCCUGAGACUGUGUGGUUUCAGAUGAAGGAAAAUCGGAGUCCAUGCUCUACAAGCUGACUCUGUGGAAGCAGCAGAUCCCAUGGCUUUGUUGAAAGUGAAAGCUUACCGCUUGGUCCAGGAGUCCGUUUUCAUCAGAAUCAUAGAGACGAAACAUGACUGCAAGAAACACACAGCUUCCAGGGUGCUGCAGCUUCUCCGUCAGAGCCUGGACCGCCGAAUCCCAGCUUUUCUGCAUCCCUGUGGCUGUCAUUCCUUCUUGCCCUCACUGUCCCAGCUUUGGCUGCUUUCAUACCCAUGAGGACUCUUUUCAUAACCAGUACGAUGUACACCACACGGACACGACUGACCCAUGGGCUACACAGAACACUGCCGGUGGGCAAGCCAAUGGAGGCACCAUGAUGCCAAUAAGCAGUGUGUGCUGCCGACAUGGACAGAGGCGGAGGCAGCCUCAAUUGAGAUCGCAAUGCCUGCUGGGGAAGGCAGGAUUACCUCAUACUAUUCGAGAACCAAAGAGCCACAUAAUAGGAGAAAGCGCCAGGACAGCGGAGCUGAGAGAGAAGGCCCGCCCAGUCCUGCCUCGUGGGCUGCCAGUUACAAAGGAGUGAGCUGUCAUUCAGACUGACGGCAGCGAGAUGAGAGGUCCCUGUGUGUUACAGAGGGCCCGUGAAGAGACCCCGAUGGAGCCUACAAAACACAGAAAGGAAGACAGAAAGAUCGAAGAGAGGAAGCUUCACUCAGAAGUCUCACAGGGCCAGAGGUUUAAAGGUAAUUUUCUAUAGGACAAGACACUGGAGCUGAAAGAAAGUAUGGCCUCUAUUAAGGGCAGAAAGCCUCAGAGGUGAGCAGUAGAGAUAAAAAUAGUGUGAAGGAGGUAACAACAGAAGUAGUGAGUUGGGGGCAUUGAGAUGAAAUUACUUAUGCAACCAAACUAUUAAAAUCAUCCCUGGAAGAAAUGCCAUGGAAAUUCAUCACAACAAUGUGGUAAACAAAUGAGAACAUGGUCCUUUGUACUACAGAGUCCCUAAGGCCACAAGCCAUUGCUGUGUGCUCAGGUUACUCAUCCAUUAAAACACCCGCCAUGACUUCCACUUUGUCUUUAACUCAGAGCAACACAGGACCAGACGUAUUGUCCCACCCGACUCAACUAGUACCUGGUCAGAAGAUAUGGAGCAAAUGUUCAGAGGACGUUAUAUUUCAAAUAGGGCCUGGAGAAAAUGGGAGCCAAGAGAGAGGUGAGAUGCCCCCUAGCAUCUUAGCAUUUGGAAGGAGUUUCCAAGUUGUACCAGAAGAGGGAGGGGCACUCUGGCAGAUCCUGGCAUUCUCCGUGAGUUGAGGACAAGGUGGGAGCCUGGAGUGGAGGUUGAGGAGCCACACAGACAGAAACACAGAGACACCUACAAGGCUCCUUUAUUGCGGGUGGAGUCACCUUCAGUUCUACAGCUGAGUGGGGAUUGUCCCUCCCUGGGGAGGAAACUGCCUGAGGCUGGGCAAUGGGGGUGGUCAUGGUUGGGAUGGGGGUAGGGGAAGAAGCAGGACCAGAGGGACAAACUCUGGGAUGGAAAGAAAAGUCCCAUUGAUGAGAAUAAGCAUCCACAUGUUAUGAGAAUCCACAUGUUCCCAAUAGAGGACCCAAAAGAACUCUGCCUCAGCAGUGAGGCAGCAUCAGCUCUGGAUGUUCAAUGGUAUGUGAACACUUGUGACUAUUUCCAGGUAAUCUCAUUUUACCCUAAAACAGCAUAAGGAUAUUUGCUGAAAUGCAAAAACAGCCUGUACUCAGCAUUAAAGAAGAGCUGAUAAGGGUUCUAUACAAAUUCUCCCAGAAAACUUAAGGGAUAAGAAUCCUGCCUAACCCGUUUAAAAAGAGCGGCCUUGCUGCAAGGCCCAAACCAAAGACAUCAUAAGAGGGUGCGUGUCAGCAGGCUUCACGGACAGGGAUGCAGACGCUGCACAGUGUUAACUUAAUAUUCUAAGUAGAAGUUAGCAGAGACUUAAAUGAAGGGACACUGUGUCAAAGGAUUAGACCCAGGGCAUUAAGAUACCAGUGUUUUCUGAUCAUGAGUUCAGCAGAUUUCUAAGAUGAAAUAGCAAAGAUCAGUCAUAAACUAAAAAACCACAUUGAAUUGUAUUUCAUGAAAAUUAAGAAACUUUGGAGAUAGGGUUAAGAGCAUUUCUUGCUCCUGCAGAGGACUCAGGUUCAAUUCCCAGCACCCACAAAUGGUGACUCACAACCACCACUACUCCAGUUGUAGAUCUGAUGCCCUCUUCUGACCUCCAUAGGCACCAGGCAUGAACGUGGUGCACACACAUACAUGCAGGCAAAACAUCCAUACACACACAAUUCACAUAAAGUAAAAUAAAUAAUUCUUUUUUUUUUUGUUUUGUUUUGUUUGGUUUUUCGAGACAGGGUUUCUCCGUGUAGCCUUGGUUGUCCUAGAACUCUCAUUUUAGAUCAGGCUGGCUUUAAACUCACAGAGCCAAUACUUCUUUUAAAAAUUAAGAAAUUUUUGUCUUCCAAAGACCCUGUUAGGGGCAUGGGAGAGGAUCAGUGGGUAAUAGAAAAGAUUUGAACGUUUCUGUAAAGGAUGAUUCACAGACGACCAUUGGUCUACUGAGCACACGGCGGGACGUCACCGGGCAAACGCAAACCCAGGCAGUGAGAGGCCACCCUCCGUGUAUUAGAGGAAUGAGAAAUGCAGAGGCCGACAAGGACCGAGCAGCAGGGGCCUUUGGGCAGCCAGGCGGGUAAAGGGCCCAAUGGUCCUGGAAAAGAGCUUGGCAAUUUCCUAGAAACGGAAAUGUGCACAGCGCCACCAGUUACAUUAUAUCUGCUAUGUGCCUGCUACAUUAUAUCUGGUAUCCCAUUCCAAGGUGUUUGCCCAAGGGGAGUGAAAGUUCUCCCGACAAAGGCUUAUAAAAGAAUACUUACAACAAGUUUUCUUUUUUUGUAAUAAAACCCAAAUGGAAGCUGUACAAAAAUCCCUGUCUCAAGAAAUGGAAUAAUUACGGAAACCCUGUUAGUAUACUAAUUAACAACCAAAAUAUGUUGACAAUUAAUAUACACAAAUGGUUAAAUAUCAAAAUGAUUAUGCCUCCUAACAAAAGAAGUAAGAGCUAAGAAAGGAAAUAUUGCAUGAUGCUGUUCACAGAGAGUCCAGAUGGUGCAGCGACCUUCCUGGUAACAGAAGGCAGAUCACAGAGUGCUUGAAGGCAGAUCACAGAGUGCUUGGAGUGGGCAGGGCUGGAGAAAAGACCCACCAAGAAAUCUUUCAUAGAUGGAGGAUGUGCUCAUUCUCUUGGUGUGCUGCUGGCUUCUACAGAUGCACGCAUACCUCAAAAGUUUUCAAUUUUAUAAUACAAACGUGUAUAGUUUAUUUUCUGCCAACUACAGUUCAACUGAGCUGUGUAAGAAUAUUACUUUUUCCUGAAGAUGGUCCAGUCACUCGAGUUCUGGGUGGAUCAUGAGUUCUAGUUCAUAACCAGGUUUAGUUUACUCCUGCAUUACUGUCCUUCCUUCUCAUGCUCUUACAUAUGAAAUACCCAAACCUCCAGUCAUCAAAAUACAUCUCCCGGUGACUGAAGACAAAUGGCCUCUUCUGUACCACAUCAGCUCUCAUCCAGUGCCCGGCUGUAAGCCCCUUCCCUGAAGGUGGGGUGUGCCUGCCCAUUCUGCCUUUGCACAUAGUCUCUGCAGUACUUGUUGACUUCCAGCGGGGCAGUGUGGCAGAGUGGAGAGUUUGGGGACUCUAGCUCUGGGUUUGCACUAAAUGGAGUGUGACUUGCUCAGGUGGGCUUAUUCGCCAGGCUCAACCUAUUUCUGUUUAAACCCAUUAAAAGAGGUCAUUACAUUAAAACUGAGGUUCACCCCAAGUCUUAAAUGACAGGGAUGUUUGUAAUGAUAAUGUUAAGUGAAAAACAAAUCUAACUCCAAAAUUAAAUAUGGUUUGAUCCCAAUUAUGUAAGAAACCUAUUGAAAAAAAACUACAAGAUCAUACACAUUUAACUGUAAGUAUGAUUGGGUUCAAUUUUCUCUUUUAAAGAUAAAAUUUGUUAAAGAGCAGUUCAGGGUUAUAGCAAAACUAGUAAAGGUACAGAGAUUUCAUUCACACAUGCUGUGGUCCCCCAGGUACGUAGCUACCUUCACAAUCAACAUGCCACAGAGAGUUCUGUAUUUGUCAUAACUGGUGGCCCUACAUUGGCGCGUCACUGUCACACACAGCCUGCAGCCCACAGCAGUGGUCACAUGGGGACUGUGUGUCCCGUGGGUGUGAACAAGGAUUUGGACACACGUCCAUCAUUGUAAUGUUGUGCAGAGGAAUCUCGUCACCCUGCAGUUCCUCUGGGCUUGGCUGUUCGUCUCUUUGUCCUGGACUCAGACAACCACCAAUCUUCAUUAUCUUUAUUGUUUGUUGUUUCUUUGGGGGGCUUAGGGGUUACUCUUCAAAUUGUCUACAGUGUGAGUAUACUUUUAUAACUGGAAAGACUGAAAAAGCAGGGUAUUUCCUUCAGAUAUUCAAUACUGUGGGUGGCUGAAAAAUCUCAACAGGUUAAGAAACGAAGUAAAACCCCAAGGACCCAAAUUCUUCCUUUUCCUAUUGUGAGCUGACAUGUCAGUGACUCUGGAGGGCUUUGGGUCAGUACGUGCACUCUGUGAAAGACCCUUUCUUCUGCCCUGCUCUGGGAAGGAAUGCCUUGAGGUGGGCUGUGCUACAUCUGAGCAUAGGAAGGUAUGAUUGGUGGAGGCCAUGUCAGUCAGAAUCUAGCAUCUUCCGGUGUCUACAGGAAAAGGCUGACAUUUUUCCAGAGAUGGCCAGAUCACAAAUGAGUACAGGACUUGCCUCAUGUAGGAAGGGGCUCCCUGUGAAGCCUUUUUCUAGUCCUAAUUCUUUUUUCUUUUUGUAAACAGGGGCAUUAAUCCAUCUAUUGAAGGAAACCUAUCAGAAAAUGGAUUAUUUCUUAAAUCCCCAGUUUAAAAAAAUAUGAAAAAAAUGAAAUAUCUCCCCGGGCCCCAACUCAGAUAAUUGCCUUUUCAUGAUUUAACCCACACGGCUUGGUGUUUUUCUUCACCAUAAGCAGACAAAACGGUGUAUGACAAAUCACUUCUCCAGGAGGAAGUCUGUGGAAGUUUCUCUUGGAGGCUCAGAAUGAUAGAGCCACUGUGAGUGAGCAGGGCCAUAUCCACCUGUCCUCAAAUGUCUCACGACCUCCCCUCUGUGAUUUCUUCGAUGCUUUCUCCUCAGCCACCAACACAAACGCUGUUCACGUCAUUUUGGGCCUUAAGACAUGAAAUGCAAUCGAAGGUUUCUCUGGAAGUUCCAAGUGCCUGGGUGAGAAUUUGGGGCUGGAAGUUUAAAAACUUGCCCUUUCCUCCCUGUGGGAGAAGGUUUUCUGUCAGAAUUUGAUCUGCUACUCCAUAUGAGAUGUAGGACUAAUUUCACCAGAGGCCCUGGACUAGUGGAGUUAGUUGAAGAGGUGCUGGCAGGAGAGAGUGAGCCAACGACCUUGAAAAGUCUUCUCCUCCAGCUAUCACCAAAGGCAUCGGGAAGGCCCGGGUUCCCUUCAUCCUUGCUUUCUGGAGCUCCACAAGCUGCCUCGAUAGCCUUCUCUUUCCAAAGCAUGUUCUGAGUUCCAUGUAGUGUUAAUUUUCUCUUCUCCCUCUCUCUGGUCUCUCACCCUCUCCCUCUCCCUCUUUCCUAUUCCUCUCACUCUCUCCUACCUCUUAAAAGAGAUUUACUUUUAUUAUUUUCAGUUAUGUAUAGUGUGUGUGUGUCUGUAUGUGGAUAUGCGCUCAUGAGUAUGUGUGUCCGAUCUGGCCUCUGAUCCCCUGGAGCCAGGUUACAGCCACCAGAUAUGGGUGGUGGAAGUGAACUCAGGUCCUCUAGAAGAGCAGCAAGUGCUCUUAACAGCUGAGCCAUCUCGGUGGUCCCUUGCUUUUCUUUUUAGGUGAAAUCUCCAUGUGGCUUAGUCUGGCCUUGAACUCAUGGACUCAAGUGAUCUUCUCACCUCUGCUUCCUGGGAAGUUGGACUUCCAGCAUCUAUUUUAUUACACACACACACACACACACACACACACACACACACACACACACACACACAUAUACACCAUGGCAUCCAGCUCCAUAGUGAAUUUAAAAACAACGACAAACCCCAACUAACUAACUUACCAAUCCUGCCAAACACUGCAAGCCCCAUAAUGCUUCUAGUGUCCCUCUUGGGAAAGAAAAAGAAAAAGCUCAGGAUUACAGCUAGUGUCCAGUUGAAGAGGCUCUCAUGCCAGGUCUCUCCUGAAAUUGUUUCUGUUCUCUUGUAGCUGUGGUUCCUCUCACCUACUUCACCUGACACAUGUUAAAAAUAGGAUGGGACUGCAUUCUUUACCCUCAGUGCUCAUCCCAAGAGCUGGAGUUCACCUUUGUGUGUGUGUAAAUGGUUUCAACAAUAGGAUCCUGUGCAUAGAUCCUUGGAGGGAAUGCCUCUCUGAGUCUUUGUGUUUGAAACCUAAGAGCAAAGUGCAUAGUCCACAAGUGACUUCCUGUCAGAACAGGACGCCAAGGAGACCCGUCAAGCCUGCCAGGAGACUGAGACUCAAGGAAUAGUCUGGCUGACUGUAAUGAGCUAAGGGGAGAAUGUUCAUCUAGAGUGUGGUACAACACUAACUGCUGAUAUUAUUGAACAUUUACUAUGGGCCAGGCACUAUUCUAAGCCUUUGGAUAGUUGCUAACCCAUUCAACCCACAUAACAAUACUCAUUAUCAUCUCGCUUUACAGAGGGGACAGCAAAACACAGACAUUGCUCAAACAGGCCCACAGCUAUCUUCUAGGUACUGUCAGCUGGGAAUGAGGUCCACAUUCUUAACCAACAUGUUCUAUUGCCUUCAGUUCAGAUGGGGAGGGACAAGGACAUGUUCAUUGGACAUGAAAACCAAUGUCAAGGAUGGAGAGUGUUGCCCCCUCCAGUACCUGGGUUUGUCAAGAGCACACAGAAAUGGCUUCUCACUUAUAAACGUGUCAGGAAAGAAUCCAGAUCGGCUGCACCAGAGGUGGGUCAAUGGACCACAGGUGCUGCAGCAGCUCCACCAGGGACUAACUAAAAUGGCACCUUUGAAAGGAGCAGACCGCCUGGCUCCUUGGCUUCCUCACUCUGGGCAGAAAGAGAGCAGAGAUUCGAGGUUGCACAAGUCUGGAUUGAAUCCCCAGCCCCACAACGGUCUCCUUGGCUCCAUUGUGUGAAGCAGUGUAAAUUCGAAGGUCAGAAGGAAAUGAAAUAAGCAGGUACCUAGAAAACAGAUCUUUAAAACGGAUUUUUUGCUGGCUUCUUUUGGCAAUUACUAGAAACUCUGCAACUUGUUCAAAAAUGACACGGAUAUUUCUGUUUUAAAAUUAAAAUUUAAUUCAAUUUUAUGUGUGUGGAUGUUUUUUUCUGCACAUAUAUCUGUGUACCGUUUGCAUGCCUGGUGCCUACGGAGGCAAGAAGAGGGCAUCAGGCAGUCACAGACUAUCGUGAACUACUACUCGGGUGCUGGGAUUCCAACCCGAGUCCUUUGCAAGAGCAGCUAGUGCUCUUAACUGCUGGGUCAUCUCUCCAGCCCCUCAUGAGCGUUGUUUGUUGGCCCAUCAGGACAUACGCUUACACACUUGCUCUACUCACUCCAGUUGUCUAUUGGUAGAAUGUGGAAUCAGGUACGCUUCGGCCUGAGAGCCAGAUCUUGGCACACCGACUCCCAUCUACUCCCACACCUCCUGUGAAGGCUCCUCCUCAUCCCUUGCACAAAACUUAUCAGAAGUAAAUAUCUGGUAACCUGUCCCAAGCCUUGACCUCCUCUGUUCUAGACAAGGGAGGUAAGAACCUUUAAUGAGCCUUAGAAUCCAUCAGUUAUAUGGAUAAAUAACCCAGCUGGCCAACUAGUUCCUUCUCCACCCCUGUGGUGGUUUGGCUAGGACUGGCCCCCAUAGACUCACAGGGAGUGGCACUAUUAGGAGGUGUGGCCUUGUUGGAGGAAGUGUGCCAUUGUAGGGGCAGGCUUUGAGGUUUCAUAUGCUCAAGCUAUGCUCAGUGUGGGACACAGUCUCCUUCUGCUGCCUGUGGAUCAAGAUAUAGAACUCUCAGCUCCUUCUUCAGUAUCAUGUCUGCUUGCAUGCUGCCAUGCUUCUCUGUGGUGAUAUUUUAUUUGUGCUGAAAUGUGAUAUUUUAUUUGUAUGUUAAUAAAUAAAGUUUGCCCAGAGAUCAGAGGUCAUAGCAAGCCAUAAACAGAAGUCAGGCAGUGGUAGCACACGCCCUUAAUCUGAUCACAUGGCAGUCAGAGUCUCUGGGUGUUCAAGGGCACAGUCAAGCAUGGUGACAUGAGCCUUUAAUCCCAGUACCAACCAUAGAGACUAGAGGUCUGUAUAGACAGGCAGUGAUGAGGAAGUGAUGUGGCUGGGAUUAGAGCCAAUGAGAAGGCAGAACAGGAAGACAAUAAAGGCGCAGGUUAGACAGGAAGAAGCUCUCUCUUGGGAAGCUACAGCGAGGUGGUAAGCUAAGGUUUGUUGGUGGCUAUCGCUCUGAUCUCUAUGGCUUGCACCUCUGUA